CACACGAAGCUGGAAUCGCUAGUAAUCGUGAAUCAGAAUGUCACGGUGAAUACGUUCCCGGGUCUUGUACACACCGCCCGUCACACCAUGGGAGUCAGCAACGCCCGAAGUCAGUGACCUAACCGAGAGGGAGGAGCUGCCGAAGGCGGGGCCGGUAACUGGGGUGAAGUCGUAACAAGGUAAC
rnacentral:rRNA from 1 species